rnacentral:misc_RNA from 1 species
AAGUCAUAACAAGGUCUCCGUAGGUGAACCUGCGGAGGGAUCAUUAAGGACUGCACGUCAAGUGCUUUUCUAAAUAUCAUUACACACACACCGUGAACUGUUUAUUGAAGGGGGGACUGCCGAAACGCGGGCUCUUCUGACCAUACCUUAUUACAAGAAGUCCUGAACGUGAAAUACUAUAAAAACAAUAUAACUUUCAACAACGGAUCUCUUGGCUCUC